GUGCAGCAGUCAGAAUUUUUCUCAAUGGGCGAAAGCCUGAAGGAGCGACGCCGCGUGGGGGAUGAAUGGCUUCGGCCCGUAAACCCCUGUCAUUUGUGAACAAAUUGUUUCACCUAACACAUGAAGCAUUGAUAGUAACGGAAGAGGAAGGGACGGCUAACUCUGUGCCAGCAGCCGCGGUAAUACAGAGGUCCCAAGCGUUGUUCGGAUUCACUGGGCGUAAAGGGUGCGUAGGCGGUUGGGUAAGUCUGACGUGAAAUCUCCGGGCCUAACCCGGAAACUGCGUUGGAUACUAUCCGGCUAGAGGAAUGGAGGGGAGACUGGAAUACUUGGUGUAGCAGUGAAAUGCGUAGAUAUCAAGUGGAACACCAGUGGCGAAGGCGAGUCUCUGGACAUUUCCUGACGCUGAGGCACGAAAGCCAGGGGAGCAAACGGGAUUAGAUACCCGUGUAGU
rnacentral:rRNA from 1 species